rnacentral:tRNA from 1 species
GCGCCCGUGGCUCAACGGAUAGAGCAACGGACUUCUAAUCCGUCGGCUGCAGGUUCGAUUCCUGCCGGGCGCACCA